rnacentral:tRNA from 1 species
GCCCAGGUGGCGGAAUGGUAGACGCUGAGGACUUAAAAUCCUUUGUUCGAAAGGACGUGCGGGUUCGAGUCCCGCCUUGGGCA